rnacentral:rRNA from 1 species
AGCAGCCGCGGUAAUUCCAGCUCCAAUAGCGUAUAUUAAAGUUGUUGCAGUUAAAAAGCUCGUAGUUGAAUUUCGAGAUCAAUUUGUUGGUCGUGCCUCGGUACGUACUGGCAAUUUUGAUUUCUCCCUUCUGAAGAACCAUGAUGUCAUUAAUUUGGUGUCAUGGGGAAUCAGGACCGUUACUUUGAAAAAAUUAGAGUGUUUAAAGCAGGCUCGCGCUUGAAUACAUUAGCAUGGAAUAAUGAAAUAGGACGUUUGAUUCUAUUUUGUUGGUUUCUAGGAUCGACGUAAUGAUUAAUAGGGAUAGUUGGGGGCAUUAGUAUUCAAUUGUCAGAGGUGAAAUUCUUGGAUUUAUUGAAGACUAACUACUGCGAAAGCAUUUGCCAAGGAUGUUUUCAUUAAUCAAGAACGAAAGUUAGGGGAUCGAAGACGAUCAGAUACCGUCGUAGUCUUAACCAUAAACUAUGCCGACUAGGGAUCGGAUGAUGUUAAUUUU